GUGGCCCCCGUCGGGGUCCCGGACGAGGGGUGCCGUACCCGGUCAGCGCAAAGACGGCACCGA
rnacentral:ncRNA from 1 species